GCAUUAGCAGUGGCUAGCGACAGUGGCGAGGAAACACUCCCUUUUAGGAAGAAAACCUGGGACAGACCCAGGCUCUUGGCAGGCGGAGUCUGACGGCCGGUUAGGGGUGUGAUGAAGAGUAGCAAUAA